AGCAGCCGCGGUAAUUCCAGCUCCAAUAGCGUAUAUUAAAGUUGUUGCAGUUAAAAAGCUCGUAGUUGAACUUCGGGAUCAAUGGAUUGGUCGUGCCCUCGGUACGUACUGGUCUUAUUAGGUUCUCACCUUCUAAUGAACCAUAAUGUCAUUCAUUUGAUGUUAUGGGGAAUUAGGACUGUUACCUUGAAAAAUUAGAGUGUUUAAAGCGGGCUAACGCUUGAAUACAUUAGCAUGGAAUAAUGAAAUAGGACAUCGCAUUCUAUUUUGUUGGUUUCUAGGAUCGAUGUAAUGAUUAAUAGGGAUAGUUGGGGGCAUUAGUAUUCAAUUGUCAGAGGUGAAAUUCUUGGAUUUAUUGAAGACUAACUACUGCGAAAGCAUUUGCCAAGGAUGUUUUCAUUAAUCAAGAACGAAAGUUAGGGGAUCGAAGACGAUCAGAUGCCGUCGUAG
rnacentral:rRNA from 1 species